UAAUAUAAAUAAAUUAAAAAUAUUUGAGGCUAGCUAAGUCGGUAGCAAGUGAAAACUAAAACACAGAGAUAUUUAUAACAAGUCAAAAACUACUAAAACAGUUCUCAUGGAGAGCAAAACUCAAAAUGAGUUCAUGAAUAAAUCUCAAGUGAGUUUCUGAUGAUAUAAUUCAAUUAAACUCACAAAGAUGAAUUACUGUGUUGUUCCUGAUUUCAAAAUGGAUGAUGAUUAUUAUGAUAUUCCUUCUGCUAUUUUCAACAAGAAAUCCACAAUAGCAGAUGAAGAAAUCAUGGAGCUAGUAUGGCAAAAUGGUGGAGUAAUUAUGCAAAGCCAAAAUCAAAGAUCUGUAAGGAAAUCUAACCUUUUUCCCGAGCAAUCAGCUGUAGAACAAACGGUAGCAGUUUCAGCUCCACUGUAUAUGCAAGAGGAUGAAAUGAACUCAUGGCUUCAAUCUCCACUUGAUGAUUCCUCCUUCGAUGAUUUUCUAAAUACUACACCGAGUUGUGACGCCGUGACCUCCGCCGCUGCAGCACCGCCGGGAGAAAUUGGUACUUCGAAGGUGGAGAUCCGUCCGCCUCUGGUUCCGCCGUGUUCGCGGCCGAUUAGAUGUACAGAGGGUGAAUUACCACAUCGAUUACAGAAUUUUGGGCAUUUUUCACGGUUGUCUGGUGAAGCGGUUUUACGAAAUGGUACUACAUCGAGUUCUGGUCACUCAGUUAGGGCAUCGACGAUUGUGGAUUCAAACGAGACUCCGGUAGCAGCACGCGUAUCAGAAAAUGUAACACCAGUUACCGCCAUGAAUGUCAGAGGAAGAGAACUGACGGCGACGUCGAUGGCGACAACAAGCGGCGGUAGGGAAGUGACGAUGGCAUGCGAGUUGGCAUUGACAGCAUCUACACGUGGUUCAGGAGGUAGUGUAAGCGCCAGAGCAGGACCGCCACAGCCGUCGCAUACGGAGGCGGAUACGGCGGCGUAUGAUCGGAAACGGAAAAGUAGAGAAUCGGACGACAAUGAAGGUCAGAGUGAGGAUGUUGAAUAUGAGUUUGCUGAUGCAAGGAAGCAAGUAAGAAGUUCUACAUCGGCAAAGAAAUCUCGCGCAGCAGAGGUCCAUAAUCUUUCUGAAAGGAAACGCCGAGACAGAAUAAAUGAGAAGAUGAAGGCUCUACAAGAACUCAUACCUUGCUGCAAUAAGUCAGACAAAGCUUCAAUGCUGGAUGAAGCAAUUGAGUACCUUAAAUCAUUGCAAUUGCAAGUACAGAUGAUGGCCACGGGAUGCAGCAUGGUUCCUAUGAUGUAUCCUGGAAUCCCGCAAUACAUGCCAACUAUGGGAAUGAAUAUGAGCAUGGGGAUGGAUAUGAAAAUGGGCAGGAACCGGCCAUUAAUUUCAUAUCCACCGCUAAUGCCAGGUCCAGCAAUGCAGAAUGCAGCUGCAGCAGCACAAAUGGCUCCUCAAUAUCCUCUUCCGGCAUAUCACUUGCCACCAUUUCCUGCACCUGAUCCAUCCAGAAUCCCAGUUGCGAACCAGCCAAACUCACAUGUUGGACAUAAUAUUAGUCAGCCAAGACUUCCCAAUUUUAGUGACCCAUACUAUCAAUAUUUUGGUCUACAGCAAGCACAACUGAUGUUACCCCAGAUAAUUGCUUAGGUUAAAAAGGUUCAUUCCUUCUAGACUUUUUUCGUGUCUUAUCCAUUGAGGAGAAUGGAACUAGCACUAAAUGCCGCGAGAGGUGUCAUAUCCCACUGAUCUCCUUUGUUCGAAGGGAGAGAAUCAGGAAGUGGAACAGCUGAGCAGCAGUAAACUUAACAGCUGCAUAGAAGGAAGUAGAGGGAAUCAUCAAUCUGGUGAGCAUACUAUUUAGAUGGUCACAUUUUACACAUCACAUUAUUGUGGUUCUUUCUCAAUACUGUUGGAGGCAGAAGCGGAUCUAGGAUUUCAAGAACGUGGGUACGAUGCUUUGAGUUAGCUUCUUUUUCUCAGCUCUCUUGCACAAGUUAGACUAAGAAUUUGUGAUUGUUAGUACCAAUUUCCAGAUAUCGACAUGAAGUUGGGAUUUUACUCAGCUUCUUCGUGUUUGCAGGUUGAUUACAAGGUGGGUCAACUACGAGAGCUUUCUCGCGAUCAAAUUUUGGUAGUGUAAGAGAAACAAGAAACAAGAGUGGAGUCUACACUGGCUGACUACUAGUCUACUACAGUAUAUAACAUAACUAAUUUGUAACUAUUAUGAUAGAACUAGUAUUGAUAUCUCUUCAUAAUCCUCUCCUAAGAGAACUGGUAUUCUGUUGAAACGUGUCACCAUCUCAUCUAAAAGCUUGUACAGUUGGGAAGAACACUUAAUUAUAAAGAAAGGGUCACUAUCCUUCAA